CCUGCUCUGUCCAUCAUCCCUGUCAUGGGACUUGUUGCUGGCCUGGUUCUCUUUGUAGUUGUGGUCACUGGAGCUGYGGUGGCUGUUAUGAGGUYGUGGCGCAAUGCAGGCAACACCAGUGCCCAUCACUCCAAUACUUCUCUAGCCCCAUAAAGCAGAGACAGCUGCCUUGUGUGGGACUGAGCAACACAAGAUUUGUUCAAGCAUUUGUGACUAGAAGAACUCUGGAGUCCCUUUCUGACAUGGAUCAUUAAGCCAUCCACAUUCCUAUUGGCAUAAUGUGCAGAAGUGAGACCAGUGCACAGGACCCCUGUCCUGUACCGUCCCUUGUGCACUCACCUUUCCUGUUCUAGCAGAGGUGACGCUGGGAUGACUCCAUCCCUCUCUCAACAUCACUGUGCACUGAGCCACAACUUCUUACUUCCAUCCUGAAUAUAAGAAUCAGAAUAUAAAUAUUUUUCAAAAUCUUGACCCAGUGGAUUGAUUGGUUAAUAAACAGAAAAUUCCAAAUUAGAGAGAGAAAAUAAAUGGAAACACUGGGAACCUUCUAGAACCUGUUUUCAUUGUCCUGAAUCAGCUACAGCUGAAGACAGAAGAAGGCUGUGAGGAGCCCAGUGUGGACAGGGCUGUGUCCAGUUAGUGCUCAGGCCAUGCUGGGCUUUCAUGUGGUCCCUCUUUAGCUUGGUCAUCUUCUGUAUUCACUUGUCCUUGUCACUCGGGAGAACCUUGCCCACCAGGACUUGUGAUCACUGGGACACAGACAACACCAGAGCCUUUUGCUGUCAGCCAGACCCUAGGCAUCAAUGGCUUCCUGUGGUCAGAUCAGGCUGUCCCCUUCAUCCUUUGUAUUUCCUGUCCCUUAGUUUCUAUGGAGGAUUAUGUAUAUGUUUGUUCUCCCUCCUCUUGAGGUAGCUGGCUUGAUGAGGGGUGCUGUAGCCCUUUGAAGACUCCAUGACAGUGGCAGCUACAUGGAGACACCUUGCAGGCUGGGGCCAGGUUCCUCAGGAGGCUGCACAUGCUCUGAACUAGUGUCUGACAUGUGGCACUGUUUCCCCCACAGCCAGGAUUCAUGGGUCCAAAAAUCAAGAAAUGGGAAUGGGUAUGGCAACUCUCACUAUGGCCCCCAGUGACCCACUAGCAAUGUAUGUGCUUCCUGUCCCCAUGACCUUAUGCCCUGCUGACAUGGAGAUCUUAGUUUCACAGAAGAAAUGCUUCCAUCAAGAGACAACAAUGAGUUCACUGAAUUGGAAAGGACAACURUCACUGGCCAUGUUGGGCUCUUCUUGCUUUGAGUCAAGAACCCAAGGGUAGAGUUAGCUGGUGGGCCUGAGUGAUGGAUCCUGGCAGCCAGGGGGACAUGGGACAGCUGCUCCCCAGGGARGGAAGGAAGGGAAUGUUUGGAAUACAGGAGUUCCUUAGGGUGCCUCUUAGUGUUACAUCCCCUGUGCUUAAUGUCCAUGGGAAACUACAUCAGCCCAACCCAGGCAGAACUAAGAGUGGCCAGGACCCUUCAGGAAUGAAGGUUGGCAUCACCACAGCAAGAGAAAUGCCACAGGCAGCCGAACUACUUGCUGAAUUGAAGGGAAUAUGGAAUGGGAGGUGGAAGAAGAUAGUUAUGAGUACCAGCAGCAACACAUGACCAUUUUCAGAGGAGAGGACUGUAAUUUUCAUUUGCAUAUCUUCUUU